AAGAGCAUAAUUUCACCAUGGAAGAUGUGCUUGGAUAUACAACCGCCUGCAACAUUAAAACUGAAAAAGAAAAUCCAUGUCCUGGUUAUCUGAAUCCCAGUAAGAAUAUUAUCUACUUACAGACAAACAAAUUUAUGUUAUUCAAAUUAGCAAGCAUGAAUGAUUAUCUUGUUUGCAGCUUCAAAUACCGCAGAAAAUUCAUCAAAAGAAUCAGGUAAAUGAUCUUCUAAGAUGACUGAAUAAAACUUAUUCCUUUCAAUAUUAAAUGUUCUACAUAUUUUUCCAACUGAUUCAUUUUUUAUGUAAAUAAUUAAGGUUCUGACGCUAAAAAAGAUAUGGUAAUUGGAGUGAUUUCAGGAUUGACAUUAUUUAUCAGUUCAUAUAUAAUAACUAUUUUAUAAAAUACAUGUUUGUAAAUUACAAAUAAUUUGAAUUUUGAUUUAUGAUUUCAUUUUGAAUUUACAAUCUUAAGUCGUGAAAUGUAAAUUUAUUUCAAAAUUCAUACAUUGAAAAAAUAUAUAAUUAAUGAUUCAAUAUCUU
rnacentral:lncRNA from 1 species